GAAACUAAGAUUCAGAUUUGUUUCUUAUUCUUAUCAUGUUCUAUUUAGACAAAAUUAAAUUGAUUUUUAGUAACAAGCCGAGCAAAGUAUUUUAUCUUUUGUGAUGUAUGUCUUCUUCUGUUUUCAUCAGGUUCAAAUGCUUGAAUCUUCUUCUGCUGCUGCUGUUUUGUUUUGUCUAUCAAAUGGAAAUCCUGCCUGCAGGAAACCCCCUUAUAUCUGUGUCGGGAAAAAAGAGAGGCAGCGUCACACUGACAUGUGAAUUUAAGGCUAAGAAGAUUUCUGAUAUUAGUUUAAACACUCGGUCAGGAGUCAUAGAUGUGUGUCAGACUGAAAAAUGUAGUGGACGAGUGUUUAAAAAAGGAAACUGUGACGUCGUCAUCAAGAAUCUGAGCUUCAGUGACGCUGGGAAAUACUUUUUGCAUCUCUAUUACAAUAAUGAUCAGACAGAGCUGGAGCGACAAAUCAGGACGUACCAACUUCAUAUUCAUGAUGAGAUUUCUGUGAAAACAGGCGAGGAGCUAAAGAUGUCUGUUCUGUUGUCUAAUGCUGAUAAAGUGAAGACAAACUCUAGUGGAGAGUGGAAGGAGGUUUGGAAGAGAGGCCACGGGGUCUGGAGUGACCGAAUGAUUGAUGAUAAUGAUGGGAACCUGAUCAUUAAAGCAUUUCUGGACAGUGAUGCAGGAACAUACAGAGUUCUGGACUCUGAUGAAGAAAUCUUGAUCACAGUCACAGCGGGAGAAAACACAGUUCUCCACCAUUCUGCUCGAGAACAUUGGAGCUGGGUAGAAAAACUUCUUUUUGGUUUUGUGACUUCUGUAUUUUUUGCGUAUAUAGUGAUUAUAGCAGUUGAAUUUUUGCUUGUGUUUGCUGGGAUAAUCUGAUGUAAAGUACACUUGCUGUUUUAUUGCAUUUAUUAAGAAUAUAUUUGCUAUAAGUUAGACUGCAACAUAUAAUAAUUGCUGUUCAUAGUAUUCAUCGUCUGUUUGAUUACGUCUUUAAUUGAUUUUUCAUGAUAAGCUAAUACUAUAGUGGGAAGUCGUGGCCUAAUGGUUAGAGUGUCGGACUCCCAAUCGAAGGGUUGUGAGUUCGAGUCUCGGGCCGGCAGGAAUUGUGGGUGGGGGGAGUGCAUGUACAGUUCUCUCUCCACCUUCAAUACCAUGACUUAGGUGCCCUUGAGCAAGGCAUCGAACCCCCAACUGCUCCCCGGGCGCCGCAGCAUAAAAA
ensembl:lncRNA